UUUGCCCUUUUUGAAUCCAACCUAUAAGGCGGAGCAAUUUGGCAAGGAAUUGACAACCUCCUGUGGCCUAUCAGCAUAAAAAAAAGGUUUUAAAGUAUUCAAAAUAUUAUCUUGUGACUUGUGAUAGCUUUGUCUAUAUUCAUAGAGGCAUUGAAUGCUAUAACUGAAUAUACCAAGCUAUAUCGUGGAGGAAUUGACCAAUGCGGUAAAAGUUAUUUAAAAGUAUCUAUUCUUCAGCAAGGAUUUCGAAAGAAACACCAAAGAACGUUUAAACCAGGACAAUUAAGCGAAGAAGCAGAAGAGCAGCAGUGGAUCCAGCACGAUCCCGGCCUCCCCUUGAUGAAUAUGCAGUUGUGGCAAUCGAUAUAUUUGCAUCUCUUUGUAUGUGUUCUGGAAAUUGUGUCAUCAACAGGACAAGUUAGGUUUGGAUUCAAAAGUUCAACCUACACCGUUGGUGAGGCAGAUGGUAAAUUGCAAGUUUGUCUUAAUGUUAGCAAUUUUGAUGGGACUUCUUUUUCAGGAACAUUAACGUUCAGAAAUGGCACUGCAACAAGCGGAGAAGAUUAUUCAGAUGAUGGGAAAUCUGUUGGAAUACAAAGUUUUAUUCAAAAAACUGAUUGCGAAAAUAUUGAUAUAAUUGAUGAUAACAGUUAUGAAGGCAGCGAAAAUUUUACAGUUGUUUUGAUGUUAAAUAACAAUCCCAACGUUCAAAUUACUGUUGGCGAAGCGACAGUGACUAUCACAGAUGAUGACGCUGCCCCCACGGCCCCUGUUACAUUUGGAUUCCAAAGCUCAACUUACACCGUUGGUGAGGCAAAUGGUAAAUUGCAAGUUUGUCUUAAUGUUAGCAAUUUUGGUGGGACUUCCUUUUCAGGAACAUUAACAUUCAGAAAUGGCACUGCAACAAGCGGAGAAGAUUAUUCAGAUGUUGAGAAAUCUGUUGGAAUACAAAGUUUUAUUCAAACAACUGAUUGCGUUGAUAUUUUGAUAAUUGAUGAUAACAGUUAUGAAGGCAGCGAAAAUUUUACAGUUGUUUUGACGUUAAAUAACAAUCCCAACGUUCAAAUUACUAUUGGCGAAGCGACAGUGACUAUCACAGAUAAUGAAGAUGUCGACGAAUGCAUUGCAGAAUCUCAUAAUUGCCAUCGUAAUGCCUACUGCAAUAAUACUGAUGGUUCUUUCAAUUGUUUAUGUAAGAGCGGCUACUUUGGAAAUGGAACUGACUGUAAAGAUAUCGAUGAAUGUGCUGUGGGUUCUCAUAAUUGUCUUUUCGACGGCUACUGUAUCAAUACUGAUGGAUCUUUCAAUUGCACAUGUAAAAAAGACUACCCAGUAAACGGAACAGACUGCAAAGAUUUCGAGCAAUGCAUUGUAAACGGGACGAGGGCUAUCGCUGAUGAUGAUGACAAUAAGGCUGGUUCCGUUGUAGUUCGUGUAAUUAUUAAGAAUCGUGAAUAUCAGCUGGCAUUUAGUAAUCGUUCAAGUUUAGAAUACGCAAGAAUCGCUGUGGAAAUGUGUUUGACAUGCAUCAAAAUGUUCAGAAGUGCGAACCUCACUUCGCAAGUUGCUUCAUGCUUCGUUGCAAAUUUAACUAAUAGCUCUCUAGGUGUCGCCUUCGUAGCAACAUUUAACGAUGUAACUGGAAUUACCUACGAAGAUCUCCAAAGAGAAUUAGCCGCAACAUUGAUCGUAACAAACAGCGGCACAUUUCUUCCUGGCACCAACCUACAACUCAGCGCUAACACUGAUCCCACUAGCACUGAAUUGGCUAAUCUUUUUAAAUUUGAAGAUUACGAUGAGUGCAAACCUUCACAAAUUAUUCAAGCCCCUGAUUGUGGUGAAAAUGCAACAUGCGUCAAUAGAAAUCUUACUUACGAUUGUAUCUGUAAUGAAGGCUUGGUCAAGAAUGGCAGUGAUUGUAUUGAUUUAAACGAAUGUGAUGCGGGGACUCACAACUGCCAUCAGAAUGCUCAUUGUAACAAUAUUGAUGGUUCUUUUAAUUGUUCAUGCAAAAUUGGUUUCAGGGGAAAUGGAACAGAUUGUCAAGAUUUCGACGAAUGUGAUGCAGGUUCUCACAAUUGCCAUCGUAACGCCUACUGCAAUAAUACUGACGGUUCUUUCAAUUGUUCAUGCAAAAAUGGUUUCAGGGGAAAUGGAACAGGCUGUCAAGAUUUCGACGAAUGUGAUGCGGGGACUUACAACUGCCAUCAGAAUGCUCACUGUAACAAUACUGUUGGUUCUUUUAAUUGUUCAUGCAAAAUUGGUUUCAGGGGAAAUGGAACAGACUGUAAAGAUUUCGACGAGUGUGAUGCAGGGAGUCACAGUUGCCAUCAGAAUGCUCUGUGUAACAAUACUGAUGGUUCUUUUAAUUGUUCAUGCAAAAUUGGUUUCAUCGGGAAUGGAACAGACUGUAAAGAUUUCGACGAGUGUGAUGCAGGGAGUCACAGUUGCCAUCAGAAUGCUCUGUGUAACAAUACUGAUGGUUCUUUUAAUUGUUCAUGCAAAAUUGGUUUCAUCGGGAAUGGAACAGACUGUAAAGAUUUCAACGAAUGUGAUGCAGGGAGUCACAGUUGCCAUCAGAAUGCUCUGUGUAACAAUACUGAUGGUUCUUUUAAUUGUUCAUGCAAAAUUGGUUUCAUCGGGAAUGGAACAGACUGUAAAGAUUUCAACGAAUGUGAUGCAGGGAGUCACAGUUGCCAUCAGAAUGCUCUCUGUAACAAUACUGAUGGUUCUUUUAAUUGUUCAUGCAAAAUUGGUUUCAUCGGGAAUGGAACAGACUGUAAAGAUUUCGACGAAUGUGAUGCAGGGAGUCACAGUUGCCAUCAGAAUGCUCUCUGUAACAAUACUGAUGGUUCUUUUAAUUGUUCAUGCAAAAUUGGUUUCAUCGGGAAUGGAACAGACUGUAAAGAUUUCGACGAUUGUAAUGCAGGGAAUCACAGUUGCCAUCAGAAUGCUCAUUGUAACAAUACUGAUGGUUCUUUUAAUUGUUCAUGCAAAAUUGGUUUCAUGGGAAAUGGAACAGACUGUCAAGAUUCAAACGAAAGUGUUGCGGGGACUCACAACUGCCAUCAGAAUGCGCAUUGUAACAAUAUUGAUGGUUCUUUUAAUUGUUCAUGCAAAAUUGGUUACUUGGGAAAUGGAACAAACUGUCAAGAUUUAAAUGAAUGUGUUGCGGGGACUCACAACUGCCAUCAGAAUGCUCAUUGUAACAAUAUUGAUGGUUCUUUUAAUUGUUCAUGCAAAAUUGGAUGCAGGGGAAAUGGAACAGAUUGUCAAGAUAUUGACGUAUGCAUUAAAAAAUCUCAUAAUUGCCAUCAUAACGCCCACUGUAAUAAUACUGAUAGUUCUUUCAAUUGUUCAUGCAAAAAUGGUUUCGGGGGAAAUGGAACAGGCUGUCAAGAUCGCGAUAAAAUGGAAAAUGGCGGAAACGAAUGGCAGGAUUUAUACACCAUUUUAAUCGUGUUGAUAGUCUUUGGAGUUUUUCUUGUGGUUAUUAUAGUGAUUUUUUAUCGUUGCUCAAGAAAAAAGAUAUCAGUCAAGGAUAAACCGGCGACAAACCCAAAUAAAUCUCAAGACAAGUCAGUUUGUGAAAACCUGGAUUUAGCUGAAGUGAUAUAAGGGAAAAAAUAAUGCUAACGAAGUGUAAAAGAAAACGUAUAUAGUAUUCCUUACACAGUGAAACGACGAAUUGUCGGACACACAAGAAACGAUUUUUCACUGUAAAGACAGCGGGAAGUUUUUUGAGUGACAAUUCUUCCUCGUACUUGGCUUACAGUUUUGAAGCUGGGUCCUCCACCAAUCGAAACCGCAUGAUACUAAAGCCUCUUCAUGAUUACAAUCACUUAAAACAAGGCUUAUACUUCAAUCUAAAGAAACUCUGCAAAGUUACGCUCCUCCAUAACUACAUAAUACUUAGUAAUAAUUACUUCUGUUUAGUAAUAAUGUAAGCAUAUGUGUCCGUUCGAGUUUGUUUGUAAAAUUUCUGUAUUAUGUCUGUAGUAGUUCAGUAGUUGUAUUUUAGUGUAUUUAUAUUUAGAUAAGGAGACAAUUACAAAUUGGGACUUAUGUCCUGUUAUUGUCUACUGUCACUGCUGUAACUUUUAGUGACAAACCAAUAAAAAAAAGAAAGUGUUCUUAUAUCCAAUUUAGCCUAGGUUUAGCACUAAAGGCCAUGUUACACGGUGCAAUUAUUCUUGCAACUUGCAAUUUAACUCUACUUUUAA
rnacentral:misc_RNA from 1 species